rnacentral:rRNA from 1 species
UACGAAGGGGGCUAGCGUUGCUCGGAAUUACUGGGCGUAAAGCGCACGUAGGCGGAUUGUUAAGUCGGGGGUGAAAUCCUGGAGCUCAACUCCAGAACUGCCUUCGAUACUGGCGAUCUCGAGUUCGGGAGAGGUGAGUGGAACUGCGAGUGUAGAGGUGAAAUUCGUAGAUAUUCGCAAGAACACCAGUGGCGAAGGCGGCUCACUGGCCCGAUACUGACGCUGAGGCACGAAAGCGUGGGGAUCAAACAGG